AUGAUAGGGCGCAUCAAGCCAGUUCAUCUUCAGGCCAUCGUUGAUAGAAUUAGAGCGAGGCUCGCGGGCUGGAAAGGGAAGCUCUUGCCGCUGGCAGGCCGCCGCGUUCUCGUAUGCUGCGUGCUAUCCGCCAUGCCAACCUUCACGUUCACGGCGCUGCAAAUACCAAAGAAGUUCCUAAAGGAGAUCGACAAGUCAAGACGGCGCUUCCUCUGGGCGGGAGACGAAGAAAUUUCGGGCGGCAAAUGCAAGGUUCGCUGG
rnacentral:rRNA from 1 species